AUGGCGGCCAGGAAGGACGCGUCGGCCGAAGAUCAGGCCAGCGAAGACUCCGAAGAGGGGGAGGAAGAAGACGUGGGCUUCUCCGAAUACGACUCCACUUGGGAGGAGGAGGAUGAGGAUGACGACGGCGACGAGGAGAAGGAGGAUCGGGCACAGCUGGAAGAGAAGCCAGGGAAGAAAGGGCGGGAGGCGGCGGCGGCGGGCGCUAAAGAGAAAUCGAAACCUCAGGAGAAGCCGGGCAGGGGGUCGCCCAGCGCCACGUGGGCCUCCGGGAUUCAGGAACGACGAAAGGCAAACCAUUCCUCCAUGGGGUUUAGAAGAUGUAAGGUAGGUGCCAAAAACGGGAGGGGUGGUGUGCCAUUCGUAGAGGUGGGCUUUGUGUUUUGUCAGUGCUGUUCUGUAGAGACGGGCACAAAACACUGUUCAGCAGCACCCACACAGGUGUUCCGUAGGCACCGCACACUUCCUUCCCUGCCUCCUCUGGGGGAUUGUUCUCUCGCCGGCAGCAGCACCCUUCCCUGUUCUGCCUCCUCCAGCAGCCAUCCACUCAGAUAAGGAGGCAGGGCAGGGAAGCCCAUUGUGCUUCCUCUGAGUGGGUGAUCACUGUGCAGUUGCUGGGAUGAUCCAUGAUUCAUGCCCAUCUCUACUCUUCUGUGGCCUUUUCUCUUGGGCCUGGCACAGAUUGAUAAUGGUAUUGAGCAUUUUUGAUAGUCUCACCAUUUCUUCUUCCUUGGAACCAAAAUAUCAGUUUGGAGUAGCAAAGAAAACUCAGCUGAAAUUGCUUCUAUAAAUUAAUAACAAUUGUGUGCUGUCAAGUCACUUGUGACUUACGGCAACCCUUUUCAGGGCUUUCCAGGUAGAUAGUAUUCUGAAGUGGUUUCUCAUUCCCUUCUUCUGGGGCCACCCUGGGUCUGUGCAGCUUGGCACCAGGCUGGCUCUUCUCGGAUGCACAGGGUGGAAUCAAACUGCCAACAUCUGGCUGCACAGCCAGAGACCUAACUCACUUGAGCUAUCCAGCCAUUACAGGCCAUCAGCAUUAUUCUCAAAUGAUGGAGUUGCAUGUGUAUGUCACCUUCCAAAGUAAUUGGUUCCAUUGUCAUACUGCUCUAACACUUAAGAUGUUUUUCCUAAUGUUCAGCGUAAAUCUGACUUCCUGUAGCUUGAGCCCAUUAUUAUGUGCUCUGCAAUCUGGGAUGAUUGAAAACAGCUCCUGCCCCUACAGAGAGGGAGUAAUCAAGGGAGAUGGGAAUAGACAGUCCUCGCUAGUGAUAUUCACAACCUUUUAAACUUACUAUUAUUGUAUGAUUUUAAUGGUUGUGAGCCUACUUGGGUACCCUGUGGGGAGAAGGCAGCAGAUAAAUAAUAUAAACAAAUAAAAAUGAAUAAAAGUGUUUGGGGGCUGUUCA
rnacentral:lncRNA from 1 species